rnacentral:tRNA from 1 species
GGAGAGGUAUCGAAGUGGUCACAACGAGGCGGUCUUGAAAACCGUUUGGGGGCAACUCCACGCAGGUUCGAAUCCUGUCCUCUCCGCCA